CCUCAGGUCAGGCGGGACCACCCGCUGAGUUUAA
rnacentral:rRNA from 1 species